rnacentral:lncRNA from 1 species
AGGAAAAAAACAGACUGACUGUUUGGAGCAGGGAACCCAAACUUCUGGUCCUCCAGCCACCCCACCCCCAUCCUUGUUCUUCCAAGUGGGGGCACAGACCUCUGCAAAGCCAGGAGAGGGAGCAGGGAAGGCAGUGUCUAAAGACCUCACGUGACUGACUGUACCUUAGGUGUUAACCUAGUCGUGGGCAUGACGGUACAGCUGACCUGGCAUCUCGUCCUGAGGACAGGUGGAUCUCUGGAUCUAGUGUAUAUAAAUACGUAUCAAGUAUCUCUUUCCCGAGUUCCUCUACCUAGCUAGCUGUAGAAAAAAAUUGCAUUUGAACCUUGUAUAAGCUUAUGCAAUAUUUCUGACACAGGGCAAUAUAUGCAUGUGUUUGACUAUGUGCACCAGAGUGUAGAUAUAGACACACACACAUAUAUAUAUAUAUUUCUAUAUACAUAUAUAUACAUACAUUCGUGUGUAUAUGUAUAUAUGCACACACAUAUUUUCAUUCUCUGGAGUUCAGGUUCAGGAGCAAAUCCACUGCUUGGUGGGUUGGUUGUCUCAGAGGCCUAGUGGGUUCACUUGUCUCAUUGGUAACCCCGCUGGGCCUGGGUUUGCCGCCGUUGCCUCAGACACUCCAGUCUUCGUGGAUUCGUAGAUGUUAGAAUUGUCUCUCUGCCCUCCAUGUGCUGCAGCUUCAGUUCCCCAUGGCUGAAGCUUGUCUUACCGAGUGCACAAGGGCCCCAGGGCCCUCACAGCUCCAGCUGUCCUGGGCCAGACCCACCCCAGGCCUCCUCUCUAUAGCCCAUCACGUUCAUCAUCUCCAUUCUCAUCUUCCCCCACCCCGUUUGGUUUUUAUCUAAGACCCGGAACGUACUUAACCACAUAGAACAUACACAAGAGACCUGCCUGCCCCAUGUACAAAGACACAACCUGCAACUCAGAUGCAAAAUAUACAAAAACAACCUGGCCAUUGGGCUCCGCAGCAGUCCCUUUCACGCCCCUUUGCCUAAAGAGCCAGAAUGGAUGGCCUGCUUUGAAACCAAGGACACGGAGGAGGAGGGCUCCCAGAGACCCCGUCCCUGGGCUUAAAGGGAGCCUCACCUGGGCUGAAAGUUCUGAAGUCCAGGACCAAGGGAUGGAGUCCCUAGUUGAUCCUCAGGCAUCAUUUUGAUUGCCGAGCUCAAACUCUCUCCCCAUUAAACUGGCAACCAGAGCCGCUUAAAGAAACCAAAGGCUGGGUUAAGAAUCCCUACCCCCAGAACAGGUUGAGAGAAAAGGAGCACUGCAUGGCCCAAAGGUCAAGUUCCAGCUGGCGCUGGAAGGAGUGGGGGUGGGGAGGCUUUUGUCUCACAAACUAGACUUCUUUGCCUUUUGACCUAAUAGCUUAAAUUGCCCAAGCUCAGCAAGUUGCGUGGUCGGGCUGCCCAGCCGUGGCUCCAGCUCCAGCCCCAGCCUCAGCCUCACUGCUGGCUCUCUAGCACCUGCAGUUACCUUGGGGGGUGGGGCACCAGCCCAGGGUGCUCACUAGUUCCUGGUCACCCACAUCCCCAGGGGUCUGCAUGGCAUCCCAUGCCCGGCGCAAAGACUCUGGGCUUCUCUUCCUCUCCGUCGCGGGAGGUGGUGCUGCAUUUCCAAGACGUGGGAUGGAGGGACGCAGACCCUGGGAACCUAGAUGGUGAAACAAUCCAUACCUAAGCCCCAGGUCGGGGGUAGAUAUUUUACCCCAGUGUCCUUGACCUGAGACUACGAAAUGAUCACCCACAGAGGCACACAGACAGGCCCACCCCACCAAAGAGAUCUACUCUGUUGCCACACACACAUCCAAAGCAGGCACCACACAUGCAAAAUACACAGAACCAAAUUAAUGAAAAGGGCAUACACAGGAGAUAUACAUUUAGAUCUAUAACCCAAAUAUGCACACUCGGCACAGACAUGGAAUGUAUGUACCAAUAUAGGACACACACAAUACCUGCAUAUAUCAUUACAAAGCACGACCUGCAAUUCAGAUGCAGAAGACCCAAAAAUGACAUGGACACGUGGGUAUACUACAGCAUACCCAAAGAAUAUUUUACUAUUGUUUCUCUACACACAAUACACACAAUCUUGAUUUAUACACACAAUGCAUUUACUCAUAUUAGGUACACACAAUAGAGCACACAUCCCCAAGAACAUAGAUAACACACAUGAGAUGUGCACAGAUACUCAGAUCCAUUGCUCUGCCCCCAUGCCUAUAAAUUAAGGCCUAAACAAAAAAAUCAGAUUUAAUCCCCUUUCCCUAGCCUGCAUUUAUACCCCUCAGUAUCCUCCAAGAAAUCUCUUCCUCUAGUCUCUUCUCUCCCCCUUAUCCCCAGAUUUCAUAAAAAUAACCCCAAAGUUUAAAGCAAAAAGAUGGGCCAGCAUGGUCAAGCGGAGCUCGGAUUAAGCCUAGGAAUCUCAUGAGAUGUCUACCUGGUCACCUUCCUCCCACCAGAAACCCAGGUGCUAGUGUGGAAGGACCCGGAACAACUGAUAAUCCAUUAAUAUAUACCUCCUGGCUGUGUCCUUUCCUUCAAAGCAAGUCCACACAGAUGACCCAAUAGCCUAGGCUCCCCUGUUCUCAGCCCCUGAGGUCUCUGAUUCAGCCCCAUUCUUUUGAAAGCCACGGUGGCUCAAGAGAUCUGCAGGGUCCUGGGCCCAGAACCAGAGUGAAAAUGCCCCCACCCUUCCCUCAGCCCACACAUCUCUUUGCCCUUCCCUCCCAUUGGCUCUGCCGGGGGCUCCCUCAGAAAGUCAAGACCAUAUAAACUUGUCUCUUAAAACGUGUCUCUUAAAACAUGUCUCUUAAAACGAGUCCCCUUUACUUGCUUGUGGCAUCUCUCUUGCUCUUGGGCCUAAGCCCAGUGGGGUCCACUCCUGAGGCUCCUCCCCCUUGCAGGCUCCACCCAGAAGCCCUGCCUCCCAUCCAAUGGCUGCGCCUUGAGGAAACACGCACCAAUCAGCUUAAGUAAAACACGGUGAAGGACUUCAACCUAAUGUUACACGAGCAAACAUUUCUUCGAGGGCCCAAUUUGUACCUUACAUGCUAAGGCCCGACUUAAAUGCUUUGUAAGAUUAUGAGCUGUUUUGUAAGAUGACCCGCUAAACUGAGAACUGGGUGCAUUUUGGCAAAGGCUUCACCUCAGGUGGAAGUUGGGGAGUCGAAGUCAGGCAUCAGAGCAGUCUCUACUCCUGCCACUGUUCAAGAUGUGUCCCACCCUUCUCUCCUAAAGAUGGUCACACCUCCCAGUGCCCCCGGAGGAAGUAACGACAGCAAGGGUCGUUACAAGUCGGUCCAAAUGUGCGCAUUUAGAGCCAUGUGUCGGCCCUUUCCAGUGUUUUCAAGUCAAGAUAUCGAUUUUCCCUUUAGCUUCGGCAGGGGCUUCCAUGGUGCAAACUCUCAAGAAAGCUGGAGACUUUAGAAUCUAAAAAGAAAGAGGUCCAGGAACGGUGGGGGCAGCGUGGUGAGUGGGGUGGCAGAGCUAGUUAGGAGGAAAGCGUACUUGAGCUGGUCAGAUUCAGAGUCAACUUUUCAGAGGCUGAAAUUUAGUUAAGGGCAUAAUCAAGGCUCUGGGCUUCCCGAAGCUUCUAUGGUAUUUGACACACUUGUUCUUCCUCUCUGCUUCCCUCUGCCCCUCUCAUCUUGGUCUCUGAGGAUAGCGUGGGUAUGUCACCAGGAGGUUAGCCUUGAAAGGGUAUUAGUGCCUCCAGCUUCUGUUGCCUGGUAUGGAAAGCUUUGUUGGCUUGAGCCUCCAGCCUGGGUGCUCAGGGGGCAGCCCUGUGUGGGGAGGGCUGCAGGACUAGCCUGUCCUAUCACCUCUCCCCAGAUCUCUCCAUUGGCGUGAGGUCUCUGGCCAGCUUCCUUACUCAUGGGCAGCCAUCAAAUAUCAGUGCCAUGCCAUGUUGGGUGAGGGCAGGCUGGACGUUCAGCGCUGCCCACAGUAGUGAAGGGAGGUGGAGGCUGACUUUUCCCUAAGGAGACUAUAAACACUUUGCAAAUUGCACAUGGGGGUAGCACCAGACCACCCCCCCAACCCCCGCCCCCGGGGCAGGCAGGAGGAUCGCACUGCUUUGAGUUGCUUACACAGGGGUGUGGAUGGUGAGCCGUGCUCCAGUUCUGGCUCCCCAGGGCCCAUUGUCAUAACAGCUCCAUCUGGGUGGUGGCUGCCUGGUCUGCGAGGGCUGGUCCACAGAGGCUGUAAUGUCCAGGGUGCUCCUUGGUUACACAGUGGAGACUCCCCCGGCCUUGGCAAAGUGUCCCUUGCCAGGUUUGAACCCGUGACCUUAACCUCAUUAACAUCAUUAGCCACCUGAGCCCACUGGCAGAGCGUGGGAUGCUGGGAGAGGUCCAGAUGGCUGGAGGUGACCAUCAUGUAGAACCUCAGCCUUGGCCUUGGUGAGAUCAGCCCUGUCCUCUCAUCAAAGCAGCAAGCAGGCUGGGAUGGGACUCUCCAUCAAACAAAUCUAGUUCAAUUUUCCCUUCUUUCUGCUUCCCUUCCCACCAAAGUUCAGCUCCAUCUCUCAUCGUUUAUUUUUUUAAAGAGGAAAAGUGCAAUAAAAUACAUAGUGACUGUUUUCUUUAGCAAUAGCUAUUUCAAAACCUUGUUCUCAGGACUGAAAAGGGAUCGUACCUGGACUCUCAGUUGAUGCCCUUGGCUUCUGGGCAUCGGUUCGCUGUCGCUGUAGUUCCCUCUUCUUCCCACGUGGUCACGUGACUCCUGCCCUCUGAGGCUCAGACCCUCCUGUGGGAUGUAGACACACACAGGCGAGAGGUCUGCAGGAGAAGGUGUUCUUGUCGCUCUGACUCUUCCCCAUGUGCACCCCUCUGUCUCCAUCCGUGCCCCUGUCCCUCCCCGCUCCCACCUACCCCUUGGGCCCACCCUCACAUGGCAUUCUCACACCCUCUCGGCACUGAAAUCUUGAGUGUGACUGACCUCACACCCGCCCAUCUCGUGGACUUUGAGUCGGACCGGCAGGGUGUGACGGAAGCCUGCAGGAAUGCUCUUACCGAUAGAUAAGAAUAAAGCAUCCUGAGCCAUUACAGAAGAUCGUUUCCACGCACUAAAAGCCAUUACUUGAUCCAUUUGUUUCCCUCCCUCCCCGCUCUUCUGGGAGAUGGAUGCUGGGGGAAGGUGGCCUGAAGGUUUGCACCUGGGAUGGUAGCCUGGGCAGAUUUGGGCAUUACCCUCCGGCUGCCCUUCCAAAUAAGCUGCCUUGUUUAACCAAAGGGGCUCCAUGAGAGCGAUGGAGGGAAGCAGGUGCCUGUGGGUUGAGGUCUGGGUGGUUAGGGCAUGACACCGGUGAAACAAAGACCCCCACCACCCACUACGGUGUACAGUUGCACAAAUAUUUGCACACAUAACUGGGGACUUCAGAAGCAUCUCCUUUCCUGGAAAAAAAAAAAUAAGAAAGAAACCUGUGAGGUUAUAUUUUCAACGGGACCAUCAGGGAAGGCUGGCAGCUCCAGGGUCCCCUUGUACUCCGUUUCUGUCUACCUUGCUCUAUACGCAUGUAUACAGCAGAACCUCAGUUAACUGAUGGCGAAAUCCUCAGGGAAGGAAGAAUCCCUGUUGCUUUACAAUUAUGGUUAUUUGGGUGGGGCUGGGAAAACAUGUUUUGGUUCAACCUUUGUUGUUGGGGGGGGGGACUUUCUUAAGUAGGUUAGUAUAAACUUGCCCGCCUUAGUAAGUAGAAUGUUCGAAGACGACAGAGACAGAAGACCUUGCUCUGCUCAGGGUCAACAUUCUCCCCCUCAGUGCUCAUUGCGUAGUCGUGGAGGUGGAGAAAACCAAAGAAACAGGCGAAAGGGAUGCUGGCUGUAGGACGUACGUACCUGGACUUUGGCUACUUGGGCUCAUCAGAUAAUGCCCUCGCUCUCAUUUGCCUCGUUCGACUGAAAAUGUAGGGAGAAACAUAAUUCUCAUUAGUCGAGGUUUUGGUUAAUUAGUCCUGAGUUAUCCGAGGUUUUUCAUAUAUACAUAUAUCUGUGUAUAUACGUGUAUAGUAUAUGUAUAUAUGUAUACCAUUGUUUCAAAAAUUAUACAAUUAUACAGUGCCCGGUCCCCUUAGCUUCACUAAUGUGGAAGGCGUUUGGCAAUCCAAGAAAUAAACUGCAUUUAUUUGAAUUUUUUAAAUGACCUUCCUUUGCAUUCUUAACAUCUCUCCAGUUCGAUUCUUGUUCUCCUGCAUAGGGAACUUUCUAGAAGGUAGUUCUUUCAUAACAAAAGAUCAGGCUCCAGCAUCUUUCCCUUUCCUCCCAGGUGGCUGCCUGACUCAGGGAUAAAAGGGAAGUCUGAUCUAAGGACCAGGUGCUUUAUCCUUUGUUCUGUCUGCCCUGGUUGGCUGUAACCUCGUCCCUGCAGACCAGAAAAGUUAUUCCAAACUUUGUAGCGCUCGGGGAGUGGGAAGCUUGCAGACCUGGCAAAGGACUGAUCUGUUGAGCUCUCUCUUUGUCAUUGAUGGUGCCCUAGGCUUGAAUUUCAUGAGAUCUGAAAGUGUCCUUUUUAAUGAAGAGCAAAAGAAUGGCUCUGCCCCACACAAGAAGGGGAGAUGCGUAGCAACCACUGGAAGUGAGAAGCCCUUCUGUUGUUGAUUCCAAUCAGAUCUAGGUGGCAAGUGUAGGCAGUCGAGCACCUAUAAUUCAGUCGCCUCUUUGGAGAAACAGCAGGGGCUGAGCUGAACCAUGCUCUGGUUCUCCAUCUCACUGGCAGUGUAUGAGACACAUGGCAGGUUGGUCCAGCCUCACCUCCUGCAGGUGACCGUGUGUGCCCUCCCUAGACCAGGGUGAGAGGGACCCCUCACUGGUAUCUGAUGCAGUGGAGGUGGUGCAGGGGUGCCUGCCCUCCCCCAACACACCCGGCAGCCCCUCCAGUCUGGCCAAGUGGGCAGCCAUCAGACCGUAGAAGCCCAUAACCCAGGCUUAGCCUGCCCAGCUGGUGAACUGAGGCAGCCUGUCUGCACAGCCGCUUCUCACACUGUGUGAACCUCAGCAUGGAAACCGAUAUAACGUCCCGUGCUCCCCUGCAUUCCUCAAAUAGUCAGAUAUGUUCCAGAUGAGCUUGCAGCUGAGAACUGCCUGCAUCAUUCCACCGACGGAUGCGCAGAACAGGUGUAAUUAUAUAAUAAUGUGGACAGCAGCCUCCUCCUCUAGGUAAAGGAGGGCAGUGUAAAUACGGCCGUCCGCUAGGACCUUGGGUAGUUACUCAGAGGACUCAGUCCUGUGUCUCUUCUCCGUCUUCCUGAGGCCUGGAAGCCUGGCUUCUCCUAGAAAAUGAUCUCUAGAUGCUGAUGUUGUAUGAGCACAUACACUCUGGACUGCUAAGGAAGCAAGAGAAGGAGCUGGCAGGGAGACGAUAUUCUGGGGCGGGGAGGGGGCUCGCUUUGCUCUCAAUUUCCACGUCAGCUGCUGCUAUGCCUGCCUUUUUAGCUUAUGAAUGCAGGGCAAGGACUGCAACCUGCCAGGUAGCGCUGGGAGGGAGCAAGCAGCUGCAGGCUCAGGAGAGAGAGAGGGGAAAGCACGGACAGCAGCCCAGCUGGCUUUGGCAAGGGUGAGUGUCAGCUCGGGAGGGUCUGACCAUGCUCCGUGCUUGCCCCAGUUCUGCCUUCACGUGGGAUCCAGCGACCCAGUUUCCUUUUGUUGUCGUGCUUGGAUGAUUCCUUCAUUUCAAGGGCCCCAGGAAGCUGGAAAGUCCCAUGAUCGAGCUCCAGCCUGCUGCGCAAACAAUGCCCAGGCCAAAUUGGCCUCGGACUGGGUUUCUGCAUCCCUGCGCCCCUCGCUCCAUGAAGGGUAAUCUUGAAACAGGCAGGAUUAAGGUGCCAGCCAUCAGGGAGGAUUCUCUCGUUUUCAUCAGGGACACAGCUGCAAAGCUCAUGAGUGCAGAAUGCUAUUUCCUCUCCUAGACGUAUGUGCUUCUAUGCUUAUUAUAUAGGCUGUCUCUGGAGAUUUUAUAUAUUACACACAUACCCAUAUAUAUAUAUAGAUAGAUAGAUAGAUAAAAUGUGGAAAUGGCCGCUCACUUAGGCUAACACAGCACAGAUUCUAAUUAGGGUUUGCACUGGCUCCUUGCUGCUCUGGCAUGGCUCCACAGCUGCCCUCCGUGCCCUAGCUCUAAUAAUUUCUGAAAACUCAAAGAGGAGAGGCAGAUAAACAAGCCUCCCUGGGAUCAAUAGAAGAAGGAACUCCAAGGCUGAUGGUAAAGCUUCGUAAGGAUGAUGCCAAAAGGGAACUGGGGUCUCCAUGGUGAUAAGAGGCCGGGGACCAAUGGGAGCUGAAGGCGGAGCAGGACCUGUGGGGAAGACUCAUGGGAGUUGGGAGUCAUUUAACUAUUUGUUUGCUUCAUGAAAAUUUAGACACCAGCUGUAACUGCAUUGCACAGGAUGUAUAGGUAUUAUCAUUCUUGCUGACAUAUUCUGGAAGCUUUCAGCCCCACCAACACUGCCCCGCCCAGGACUUCUGCAGCUGAGAGUUCCUGUGUCAGUAGGGUCUGAUAUUUGUACAUAGGUUAUACAUAUAAGUGUACAUACGUGCCUCAAUGAACAUUGCCUGUCCACCUGAUCAUAGGUGUACAUAGACUUCAUAGAGCUCUGCAGUCUUUUGUAAAUAUCAACACAAGGAAAUAAGUAUAUAAAUAUAUAUUACUGAGGAUUUAUUUUAACAUCAUUCUGUGUGAAAUGAAAAAAUAAAUAAAAUUUUU